ACCCUUCCCCAUUUCUUUCUUCAUCCUCAUCAUCUUUUACCUUCAAACUCUCAAUCCCUUUCUUCCCCUUCUCUCACGUCCCACUCCCCUCACCCACAGCGGCGGCACAACCAAGCCCAGCCAUGAGUUCCACCACCAACAGCAACCGCUUCUCCUCCUCCCUUUAUUGUUGGAGGCGACAUUAUCGAGGAGCCCUUCUAGUGAUCACGAAGUACCAGACUUAGCUUCUUGAAGCGUUCUUUUGUCUGAUUACAGAUCGGAACCGGUCGGGAACGAUGGGUUAGCGGUGUUGAAUAGCGUUCCAAGGAUGUAUAUUGAGCUGAGCACGUAGGAAUUUGUAGAUUUGUAUUAGGAUUUUGGAUAAAUGUAUAUUUGUUUUGGCUGUGCUGGUUAUAUCGGACUUGUAGAGAAUUGUAUGAUUAUCUUGUGUAUUAGUUAGAUGUUGGUUUUGGGAUUUAGCUGAGAUAGUCACGUUGAAGAGCUUGUGACCCCUUUGCUUGAGUUUUGGAAGUGUGAUUUCAGUUUCUUGGAAAACGAACUUAGUGAUGACCCUGUUUACCCAGUCAACGGUAAGUCGAGUUGUUACAAAACGCCAUCUUUAAUUCAUCGAUGUAGGAUAAAUCAUCCCAACAAAUCAUAUUUGCAAAGAUUUUUUCCAUAGGAGAUUCUAUGGUCAUUUGGUAAAAUACAUGAAACUGAACUAAACUUGUUUAAAAUGAGCUUUGCACAAUAUGGAUGCAAUAUCCUUGACAAUUAGUUUGUGGUCAUAUUAAAACCCUAACUUAUACUCCAUCUGUGGAUUCUGUCCCCAUGAGAAUGUCACAGUUUCUAUUUUGGUCCGUCUCUUUUACUUUGUUAUAAUAUUUUGAAUUCU